CAUACGCCGUAUGCUGUUAUAUGGAGUUGUACGACGCAAAUUUCUUCCUACACGGACUAAUGAUGAAUAGCGUUCCACUCUACACUUUCUUAAGAUUACAAACCAAAUAUGGAGUCUAAGUCAGUCACAGCUUGUAUUUUUCUGACAUGGGUAAUGCUGACAGAUGGACGACCUUGUACCUCCAACCAGAGAGAUUACUUGUAUGUCCGGUAUGGUCAAUGCCAGGAGUUGUUGUGAUCGCUACCAUGCAGAACUAUUGGACACCUUAUGGUACAAAUAUGACUAAGAAUCUCAGUCGUGGGAACUUAAAGCGCCGGCUACAUCCGACAUUCUAUUUUUGGAUUGGAAUGCCACUCUUGCCAUCAAGCACGCGCAGUUUUCCGACACCGGACGAUACAAAUACACGCGCCCUUCCGGAAAGUCAAUCCAAUCAGACGAAUCAGGGACAGAGUUCGAUCUAAAAGUCGUCGCCUGUGACCAGAUAGCGCGUGGUCCGUUCCCAAUAGCGCCAUUGCCCUGCGGUGUGACGUCAGCAAAAGUGGGUGAUCACGUGACUAUCCCGUGCACAUGAUAUUUCGGUUGCGAUCAAGAUGACGUUAGAAUGAUGACAUGGUUAGCGAUUAUAGCUCGUUGACAAAAGUUCUAGCAGCAGACGACAUAAUCACGCAAAACAGAUCGACAAGUUAUUUUUUCGCUAAUCGUAAAGGCCUUAUUCUCUUCAAUGUUGAGAGUCCUAUGAUAAUUUGAAUCUAACAAACCGAGCAGUCAAAACAUAAAUUAUGGGUCAAAUAGAAAGCACUUUUUGCAACUUAUUCUUGUAAAGACUGGUACAAUUUAAAUCAUAUAAAUGGAGACGUAUUUUGACUUAGUCAAUAACAUAUUGAGCAAUAUAUGUUAAGUCACAUUCACUUCAUUUUUAUACUCGACUGAGCACAUUGUGGUUGGAUUUUUGUAUGCAUUUAAACGCGUAUAGCCCCUUUAUUAAAUUAGGGUCGCACAACGAAUAUUUCGACGCUGUCGCUCGCAUUCAUUAAAUAUUGCGGUUUCAUUGAAUCACGGGUUGUAUUGCACAAUCUUAUGAAAUAUGAAAGUUUCAUUUUCGAAAAUAAUGUGGGUGCUUCUACCUGGUAAAACCUGUAAAUAAUCAAAUAUCAUAGUGUACGUUAUUAAUAGU